rnacentral:rRNA from 1 species
ACUGCUCAGUAACACGUAGCUAACCUACCCUUAGGACGUUUAUAACCCCGAGAAAUUGGGGCUAAUGAACGAUAGAUGUGAUGUCCUGGAAUGGUAUUACGUCUAAAUGUAUCUCAUACAUGUUUGGUAUACGCCUAAGGAUGGGGCUGCGGCCGAUCAGGCAGUUGGUGAGGUAAUGGCUCACCAAACCUUUGACCGGUACGGGCCAUGAGAGUGGUAGCCCGGAGAUGGACACUGAGACAAGGGUCCAGGCCCUACGGGGCGCAGCAGGCGCGAAACCUCCUCAAUGCACUAACGUGCGAAGGGGUUACCUCGAGUGCUAUCUGAAAAAGGUGGCUUUUCCUUGGUCUAAAACGCCUUGGGAAUAAGAGGGGGGCAAGACUGGUGUCAGCCGCCGCGGUAACACCAGCCCCUCGAGUGGUGGGGAUGAUUAUUUGGCCUAAAGCGUCCGUAGCCGGCCGGAUAAGUUUCCCGUUAAAUCCAACGUCUCAAGCGUUGGACUGCGGGAAAUACUGCCUGGCUAGAGAGUGGGAGAGGUCAGCGGUAUUCUGGGGGUAGGGGCGAAAUCCUUUGAUCCCCGGAGGACCACCAGUGGCGAAGGCUGCUGACUAGAACACGUCUGACGGUCAGGGACGAAAGCUGGGGUAGCGAACCGGAUUAGAUACCCGGGUAGUCCCAGCCGUAAACGAUGCAUGCUAGGUGUUGGGUUGGCCACGAGCCACCCCAGUGCCGCAGGGAAGCCGUUAAGCAUGCCGCCUGGGAAGUACGAUCGCAAGAUUGAAACUUAAAGGAAUUGGCGGGGGAGCACCACCAGGCGUGAAGCCUGCGGUUUAAUUGGAUUCAACGCCGGGA